rnacentral:rRNA from 1 species
AUACGUAGGUGACAAGCGUUAUCCGGAUUUACUGGGCGUAAAGGGCGUGUAGGCGGUCUUGCAAGUCAGAAGUGAAAUUCCUGAGCUCAACUCGGGCGCUGCUUCUGAACCUGCAGGACUUGAGUGCUGGAGGGGAUAGCGGAAUUCCUAGUUGAGCGGUAAAGAGCGCAGAUAUUAGGAAGAACAACGGUGGGGAAGGCGGCUAUCUGGACAGUAACUGACGUUGAGGCGCGAAAGCGUGGGGAACAAACAGGAUUAUAUACCCGGGUAGUCCACGCCGUAAACGAUGAAUACUAGGUGUAGGAGGUAUCGACUCCCUCUGUGCCGCAGUUAACACAAUAAGUAUUCCGCCUGGGGAGUACGGCCGCAAGGUUGAAACUCAAAUGAAUUGACGGGG